AUGACCAAGUAUGAUUACUUAUCAGUUAUAAGUUUAGAAACAUUUCCUCUGGGACAUGAUUAUAAUUCCAGAGAAAGCAUCAACAGAACACCACUCAGUCGCCUCUCCUUAGCUGCCCACCAUGACCACGACCAGGUCCACUCGCAGGUGUGCCAGGGCUACCCUCAGGACUUGGAGGUCGCCAUCAACUGCCAGAUCAACAUGGAGCACUACGCUUCCUACGUCUACCUGUCCAUGUCUUCCUACUUUGACCAUGAUGAUGUGGCUUUGAAGAACUUUGCCUAGUAUUUUCUUUACCAAUCUCAGGAGGAGAGGGAACAUGCCAACAAACUGAUGAAGCUACAGAACCAACGAGGUGGCCAAGUCUUCCUUCAGGAUAUCAAGAAACCAGACCGUGACUACUGGGAGAAUGGGCUGAAUGCAAUGGGGUGUGUGUUAUACUUGGGAAAAACGUGUCAAUCAGUCACUACUGGACUUGCACAAACUGGCCACUGACCAAAAUGACCCUCAUUUGUGUGACUUCAUUGAGACUCACUGCCUGAAUGAGCAGGUGAAAUCCAUCAAAGAACUGAGUGACCACGUAACCAACUUGCACAGGUUGGGGGCCCCGGAAUCUGGCAUGGUAGAGUAUCUCUUUGACAAGUACACCCUGGGAGACAGUGAUGAGAGCUAAGCCUUAAGCUGGCUU